rnacentral:rRNA from 1 species
CAGCCGCCGCGGUAAUACGAAGGGUGCAAGCGUUACUCGGAAUUACUGGGCGUAAAGCGUGUGUAGGUGGUUGUUUAAGUCUGUCGUGAAAGCCCUGGGCUCAACCUGGGAAUUGCGAUGGAUACUGGGCGACUAGAGUGCUGUAGAGGAUAGUGGAAUUUCCGGUGUAGCAGUGAAAUGCGUAGAGAUCGGAAGGAACAUCUGUGGCGAAGGCGACUAUCUGGGCCAACACUGACACUGAGACACGAAAGCGUGGGGAGCAAACAGGAUUAGAUACCCGCGUAGUCCCUGUCUCUUAUAC